UACGGAGGGUGCAAGCGUUAUCCGGAUUCACUGGGUUUAAAGGGUGCGUAGGCGGGUAGGUAAGUCAGUGGUGAAAUCUUCGAGCUUAACUCGGAAACUGCCUUUGAUACUAUCUAUCUUGAAUAUUGUGGAGGUAAGCGGAAUAUGUCAUGUAGCGGUGAAAUGCUUAGAUAUGACAUAGAACACCAAUAGCGAAGGCAGCUUGUUACACAAUUAUUGACACUGAGGCUCGAAAGCGUGGGGAUCAAACAGG
rnacentral:rRNA from 1 species